rnacentral:rRNA from 1 species
UACGUAGGGUGCAAGCGUUGUCCGGAAUUAUUGGGCGUAAAGAGCUCGUAGGCGGUCUGUCGCGUCGGAUGUGAAAAUCCAGGGCUCAACCCUGGACCUGCAUUCGAUACGGGCAGACUAGAGUUCGGUAGGGGAGACUGGAAUUCCUGGUGUAGCGGUGAAAUGCGCAGAUAUCAGGAAGAACACCCGUGGCGAAGGCGGCUCUCUGGGACGGUACUGACGCUGAGACGCGAAAGCGUGGGGAGCGAACAGG